CAGAAUGAUAUCUGUCUUAAGGUUUGCCUGCUUUGUGAUCUGUGUGGUAUGUGGUACUGUAUUUUCUUUACCAUGUCUAACAGUCAAAUCAAAGCAAGAUUUCAACAAAGCCAGAGAUGCAUUAAAGAGCCUUGAAAAUUUCAUGAAAAGUCAAGCAACUUCUAUAAACCCCAAAAUAGAGGAUUUAGACAAGGAUAUGACAUCGAUGGAAGAGGAUUUCAAACGGAGACAAUGGAUCAAGUACAACAAUCACUGUUAUUAUUUUGGAGCUGAUGCUGUUAUAUGGACUGCAGCAGAG